rnacentral:rRNA from 1 species
GAUGAACGCUGGCGGCGUGCUUAACACAUGCAAGUCGAACGGAAAGGCCCAAGCUUGCUUGGGUACUCGAGUGGCGAACGGGUGAGUAACACGUGGGUGAUCUGCCCUGCACUUCGGGAUAAGCCUGGGAAACUGGGUCUAAUACCGGAUAGGACCACUUCUUGGAUGUUGUGGUGGAAAGUUUUUUCGGUGUGGGAUGAGCUCGCGGCCUAUCAGCUUGUUGGUGGGGUAAUGGCCUACCAAGGCGUCGGCGGGUAGCCGGCCUGAGAGGGUGUACGGCCGCAUUGGGACUGAGAGACGGCCCAGGCUCCGACGGGAGGGAACUGUGGGGAAUAUUGCACAAUGAGCGCCAGCCGGAUGCAGAGAGGCCGCGGGGGGGAUAACGGCCUUCGGGUUGUAAACUCCUUUCGCUAGGGACGAAGCGUUUUGUGACGGUACCUGGAGAAGAAGCACCGGCUAACUACGUG